rnacentral:tRNA from 1 species
CGGAGUAUAGCUCAGCCUGGUAGAGCACCACGUUCGGGACGUGGGGGUCGUAAGUUCAGAAUCUUGCUACUCCGACCA